rnacentral:rRNA from 1 species
GAUGAACGCUGGCGGCGUGCUUAACACAUGCAAGUCGAACGAAGCACCUUGAUUUGAUUCUUCGGAUGAAGAUCUUGGUGACUGAGUGGCGGACGGGUGAGUAACGCGUGGGUAACCUGCCUCAUACAGGGGGAUAGCAGUUAGAAAUGACUGCUAAUACCGCAUAAGACCACAGCACCGCAUGGUGCAGGGGUAAAAACUCCGGUGGUAUGAGAUGGACCCGCGUCUGAUUAGGUAGUUGGUGGGGUAACGGCCUACCAAGCCGACGAUCAGUAGCCGACCUGAGAGGGUGACCGGCCACAUUGGGACUGAGACACGGCCCAAACUCCUACGGGAGGCAGCAGUGGGGAAUAUUGCACAAUGGGGGAAACCCUGAUGCAGCGACGCCGCGUGAGCGAUGAAGUAUUUCGGUAUGUAAAGCUCUAUCAGCAGGGAAGAAAAUGACGGUACCUGACUAAGAAGCACCGGCUAAAUACGUG